CAAAAAAUCAUCUGGAAAGGCCAACCUUAGGUUCUACAAUAGUGAUCUUAUCUAUAGGAGUAAUUGAGGAAGUCACUCAAAUCUUAUGAAAUCUUGCACAAAUCUUGUGACCUCCAAAACAAUGGCUGGCUAUUGUUUAAGUAUGCCUACAUCUUAGCAGAAUUUGGGCUCCUCCCGGAAUCCUAACAUUGUGGUCUUUCAUUAGUUUUAUAGGGCAGUUUAGUUUUGGGAAGGGCUAUUUUCAUCCUUGCUUUAAAGUUAAACUACAAAUAAAUUCCUCCCGUGGUUAGCCUGGCUUCUGCCCAGGAAUGAGCAAGGACAGCCAGCCUGUGAGGCUGGAGGCAAGAUGGAGUCAGCUAUGUUAGGCUUCUCUCACUGCCAUCAUCUUUGCAAAGGUGGUUUCACACUCACUCAGACUGGGACGUUGUACACAUGCCAAUCAACCUAACAUGCACAUCUUUGGAAUGCAGGAGGAAACCAGAGGACCCGGAGAAAACCCACACAGAUUGUCAUAAGCAUAGACCUUUAGCUUGAUGCCUUCAUGAGAUAAAGGGGAAACUGGAGCUUGGAACUUGAUUUCAUCCACAGGAACGGCUGGAAAAUCAUCUUCAAUCAUUUCACCUGGAAGUCUCCCAAGAGGACAUGAGUAUCCUGUUAAGACAUCCUUUUAUGUUUUCAGUAGCUUUGCAGUUUUGUCUUUGAGUUGCUCAAGGCAAGAAGACCCGGUGCCAGCAAGACUGAAACAAAAAAGCAAAAGAGCUUUUAAAAGCAAGCCUUCUUCUGACUCAGAACCUGCUCCCGGACCUCCCCGUGGUCUCCCUGGACUGGUGCUGUGACUCUGGGGGAACGCCAGGGAAGGAAGAGAGGAAAACCUUGUUAUUGAUGCUAAAUGAUACCCUCUCAAACAAGAGAGUUCUUCUCAUCUUCUGUUUUCUAUGAAGCAAGGAUAAUAAGAAGCUUCAAAUUGGAACAUGUUUUAUUUUUCAAAACUUAAAGAGCUUAAAGUAAUUUAUACACACGCUUUUAAAAAUUUUAAGAAGUACUGAAAGGCUUGCAGUGAAAAGCUCGUCUUCUGCUCCUCAGAGCGAUCACUUUGUAAAAUGAAAUUUUUAUUGAGGUAAAAUUUACAUAUGGUGAAAUACGUACACAGACUUUAAGUCUUCAAGCCAAGUGGUUUUGAUAAAAAUUGGUGCAGUGGUGUAACUACCGCCACGUUCAAGACACACAUCAUUUCUAUCACCCCUGAAAAUACCUUCACGCCCCUUGGCCAUGCUAUACAGGAAAGCAAAAGUAAUUCACCAUAAUGACCAUGAAAAUGACCACUGAGUAGAAGAAUUGUUAUGGAAAUAUCUUUUACUAUUGUUUUUAAAAGAUGAAAUAGUUAUAAAUAUGGUUAUAUUUUGGAUCCACUAGAGGGAGUAAUAAAGUCCAAUUGAUCAAUUUUUUAUUUUAUCUCGUGUUUUUGAUAUCAUUCUUCAAGAAACCUAAGAUCACUGAUUUACUCAUGCUUUCUUCUAAGAGUUUCACAGUUUUAGCUCUUACAUUAUAGUCCAUGAUCCAUUUCAAGUUUAAUUUUGUGUAUGGUGUGAGGGAAGGGUCCACACAUACUUUUACAUGUGGCUGUACAAUUGUCCCAGCAACAUUCGUUGAAAAGAUUAUUCUUUCCCCCAUUGGAUUGUUUGGGUACCCUUGUUGAAAAGCAAUUGAUAAUGACUGUAAAGGGUUAUUUCUGGACUCUGAAUUCUCUUCCAUUGAUCUAAAUGUCUCUCCUUAUGUCAGCACCACACUGUCUUGAGUAUAGGAGUUUUGUAUUAAGCUUUGAAAUCAGGGUGAAUAAGUCCUCCAACUUUGUUUUUCAUUUCCAGAUUGUUUUUGCUAUUCUGUGGAUUUUGCAUUUCUAUAUGAACUUUAGAUCAGUUUGUCAAUUUCUACAAAAAUAUCCAACUGAGGUUUUAAUAAGGAUUGCAUUGAGUCUUAGAUCAAUUUGUGGAGAAUUGUCAUCCUAAUAAUACCAAGUCUUCCAGCCUUUGAAAAUGUAAUGUCUCUCUCCAUUUAUUUAGAUCUUCUUAAUUUCUUUCAACAAAGUUUUGUAGUUUUCAGAGUGUAAGCUUUGCACUUCUUUUGUUAAAUUUGUCCCUAAAUAUUUUAUUCUUUUUGAUUCCAUAUUGUGAAUGGAACUGCUUUCUUAAUUUCAUUUUAGAUUGCCAUUGUUAACGUAUAGACAUACAAUUGAUUUCUCUAUGUUGAUUUAUCCUGCCGCCUUGCUGAAUUCAUUUAUUAGUCAUUUUUUAAAAAUAGAUUUUUUAAAGGAUUUUCUGUAUAUGAGAUUAUGUUGUCUGAAAAUAAAGAUAGUUCUAUUUCAGAC
rnacentral:lncRNA from 1 species